AUCGAACGCUGGCGGCAGGCCUAACACAUGCAAGUCGAGCGAGGACUUCGGUUCUAGCGGCGGACGGGUGAGUAACGCGUGGGAAUGUGCCCUUCUCUACGGAAUAGCCCUGGGAAACUGGGAGUAAUACCGUAUACGCCCUAUUGGGGAAAGAUUUAUCGGAGAAGGAUCAGCCCGCGUUGGAUUAGGUAGUUGGUGGGGUAAUGGCCUACCAAGCCGACGAUCCAUAGCUGGUUUGAGAGGAUGAUCAGCCACACUGGGACUGAGACACGGCCCAGACUCCUACGGGAGGCAGCAGUGGGGAAUCUUAGACAAUGGGGGCAACCCUGAUCUAGCCAUGCCGCGUGAGUGAUGAAGGCCUUAGGGUUGUAAAGCUCUUUCAGCUGGGAAGAUAAUGACGGUACCAGCAGAAGAAGCCCCGGCUAACUCCGUG
rnacentral:rRNA from 1 species